AGAGUUUGAUCCUGGCUCAGAUUGAACGCUGGCGGCGUGCCUAACACAUGCAAGUCAAGCGGUAACAGGUGUAGCAAUACAUGCUGACGAGCGGCGAACGGGUGAGUAAUGCUUCGGAAUCUACCCAAUGGCGGGGAAUAACUAGCCGAAAGGUUAGCUAAUACCGCAUAAGCCCUACGGGGGAAAGCAGGGGAUCGUAAGACCUUGCACCGAUGGAUGAGCCGAAGCCGGAUUAGCUAGUUGGUAGGGUAACGGCCUACCAAGGCGACGAUCCGUAGCUGGUCUGAGAGGACGACCAGCCACACUGGGACUGAGACACGGCCCAGACUCCUACGGGAGGCAGCAGUGGGGAAUAUUGGACAAUGGGGGAAACCCUGAUCCAGCGACGCCGCGUGUGUGAAGAAGGCCUGCGGGUUGUAAAGCACUUUUAGUGGGGAUGAAAAGUUCAGGGCUAAUAUCCCUGGAUCUUGACCUAACCCAAAGAAAAAGCACCGGCUAACUCUGUGCCAGCAGCCGCGGUAAUACAGAGGGUGCAAGCGUUAAUCGGAAUUACUGGGCGUAAAGCGUGCGUAGACGGUUAUGUAAGUCAGGUGUGAAAGCCCCGGGCUCAACCUGGGAAUGCCAUUUGAGACUGCAUAGCUAGGGUACGGAAGAGGGAAGCGGAAUUUCAGGUGUAGCGGUGAAAUGCGUAGAUAUCUGAAGGAACACCAGUGGCGAAAGCGGCUUCCUGGUCCAGUACCGACGUUCAGGCACGAAAGCGUGGGGAGCAAACAGGAUUAGAUACCCUAGUAGUCC
rnacentral:rRNA from 1 species